rnacentral:rRNA from 1 species
ACUACGGGUGGCUGCAGUGGGGGAUAUUGCACAAUGGGGGGAACCCUGAUGCAGCGACGCCGCGUGGGUGAAGAAGCGCCUCGGCGCGUAAAGCCCUGUCAGCAGGGAAGAAAAUGACGGUACCUGAAGAAGAAGCCCCGGCUAACUACGUGCCAGCAGCCGCGGUAAUACGUAGGGGGCAAGCGUUAUCCGGAUUUACUGGGUGUAAAGGGGGCGCAGACGGGGAUGCAAGCCAGGAGUGAAAGCCCGGGGCCCAACCCCGGGACUGCUCUUGGAACUGCGUGGCUGGAGUGCAGGAGGGGCAGGCGGAAUUCCGGGUGUAGCGGUGAAACGCGUAGAUAUCAGGAGGAACACCGGUGGCGAAGGCGGCCUGCUGGACUGCAACUGACGUUGAGGCCCGAAAGCGUGGGGAGCAAACAGGAUUAGAUACCCGAGUAGUC